rnacentral:rRNA from 1 species
CCCUUAGAUGUUCUGGGCCGCACGCGCGCUACAAUGGUUCAGACAACGAGUGGGCGUCGUCUUAGUGAUGAUGACCUUGGCUGAAAAGCCUGGGUAAUCUUGUAAACUGAAUCGUGAUGGGGAUUGAUCUUUGUAAUUUUCGAUCAUGAACGAGGAAUUCCUAGUAAACGCGCGUCAUCAACGCGCAUUGAUUACGUCCCUGCCCUUUGUACACACCGCCCGUCGCUCCUACCGAUUGGGUGAUAUGGUGAGUUGUUUGGAAGUUUUUUGUUUGUGGGCAACUGCGGACGGGGGACUGAAGUUCUGCAAAUCUUAUCAUCUAGAGGAAGGAGAANUCGUAACA